CUCUUUCCGGACAGGGAAUGUUUUACACUUGUGCAACCUGUGAACAAUGAGAAAGAUCUCCAACGUCUUGAUCAACUUCCUCUGAGUAAUUUCCGUCCAGAGUUCAGAUCCGGUCUGGAUGGUUUCGCGAAAUUUGUUCUUGACCGAACAAGACCAAAACAACUUGGAGCUAGUACAAUGACAGGUCCCAUCCUUGCUGGAUUGACACAAUCGUUUCUUGAUGCUAUUAAUAAUGGUUAUGUCCCUACAAUCUCUUCAUCAUGGCAGGUAUAUUAUGAUUGCUUAUAGCAAUGUGGCUUCUGUUUUUUUGGCUUACAGUGCUUUAAAUGUUUUUGCUGUUGGUGCUGGGUCAGCUCGUUCAAAAUUUGAAAAGCUUCUUCACAGUUCUCCCAAAAAGGCCUUUGAGGACUACAAAAGGAAUGCUUUUCUGGAGGCUGACUUGCAAUGUUCUAAUAAAGUUCAGAACAUGGAAUCAAAGGUGCGAGCAACAUGUAACAGUUCGAAUGCAAAAUUAGAUGACAUAGUCAGGGUAAGACAACAAAAAACUUCUCUGCUGCUGUAAUUAAUCGACAAGAACCUUAUCCUUUAUUAUUGUUUAUGGUAAUGUCCUUGUUGUUGGAUUAACCGCAGCUCCUUGAUGACCUACUCACAGAGUAUGAGUCAACGGCCUAUGGUCCUGGAAAAUGGAAAAGGCUAGCUACAUUCUUACAGCAGUGUUUGGCUGGCCCUGUUCUGGACCUUUUCAGAAGAUAGUUAGAGCAUAUAGAUGCUGAAAGGAAC